AUGUCCGUUUUCGCUCAAAUUUGACAGGCAUGUUCGGUUUCACUUAAUAAGUCCAAAGAAAUUUUAAUAUUUCAGUUUCGACCCCGUUUGGUCACUGAAAACUGUGCCGAACUGCAAUCUUUAUCAGAUAGCUUUCGGAUUCGAUUUCUCUCUCUACGGGUGUCAGAAAAAUAUGAAACUUUAAAUCUAACCUCAUAAAAAUAUUUCUGACAUCUCCGCCAAUUUUUAUAAUUUUCUAACACUGUGCAUUUUCUGCUAAUUUAUCUAACCCGUUUCUUACAGAAAAUUCUAAAUCAUCUGUUUUCGCUCUGAUUUCAGCACAGGUCAUUCCCAACUUAUAUUUCACUUCUCUAGAUCCAAUAAAAAUAGUAUCUCAUACUAUUUUUAUUUAUUUUUAUUUUUAUAUUUAAAAUCCGGUAUGUUACAUACCACCGUAACCUCACCGGAACCAUUUAAAUGCACACCGUAACUUCACAGUUUUAGAAGUCCAGUACCUUACACUGCUGAAGGCUACCCGAGAGCUGACCAAAAAUUCGACUUUUCAGAUUUUG
rnacentral:lncRNA from 1 species